UGCAGAAGAAGAAGAAGAAGAAGAGGAGGAGGAGGAGGAGAUCAAUUCUCAUUAUUUUUUGUGUAUAUACAGGUUCAGGUGUAGGAAUCUGAGGUACAAGAUUUUAAAGUGCAGGAUUUUGAGCUGGUAUUUGAGGUGCAGGAUUUUGAGAUUUGUUUCAGGUGAUUGAUCGUAGCAUAUGUGGAAAUACGCGGUGCUUAUCCGGAAGACCUCCAUUUCAUUUCGGGAUGGAGAUUGAGUCUUAGAAUGUAGUGGUAAUCUGAAAUCAUUAGUCGCUCUUGUACUAGUCUAGACCAGGUCAUGGGAAGUGGAUCGAGUUUGUAGGUGU